rnacentral:rRNA from 1 species
UGAGGAAUAUUGGGCAAUGCCCGCAAGGGUGACCCAGCAACGCCGCGUGGAGGAUGAAGGUCGUAAGAUCGUAAACUCCUGUUAGAGGGGAAGAACAUCAUCGAUUGGAUCGAUGUUUGACUGUACCCUCAGAGAAAGCCCCGGCUAACUACGUGCCAGCAGCCGCGGUAAUACGUAGGGGGCAAGCGUUGUCCGGAUUUACUGGGUGUAAAGGGCGCGCAGGCGGGAUAGCAAGUCAGAGGUGAAAUCCUACAGCUUAACUGUAGAACUGCCUUUGAUACUGUUAUUCUUGAGUUCGGGAGAGAGAGACGGAAUUCCAGGUGUAGUGGUGAAAUACGUAGAUAUCUGGAAGAACACCAGUUGCGAAGGCGGUCUCUUGGUCCGAUACUGACGCUGAGGC